CGCCCCCCACCGAUCCGCUCCCGCCGCGAGGCGCCAGUUGGGUCGAGUGCAAGUGGCCGUCCCGGCGAAGUGGCCUUCUUUCACGAGGAGGCCGUCCUUGGAAGGGUCGGCUGAAAUGGAUGGAAUCGGGCCGCCGUGGUGACACAGUCCGCGAUCGGGUGAUUUUGUCGCGAGCCUCCCCCGGGAGGCUCUUGGUGAAUUUUUCUAAGUGCUUGGCUGCGUCCCCCAGUUGGCUCGGGUUACCUCAUGCAGGUCGAGCGCGCCCCCGCGGCGCGCGUCACGC
rnacentral:misc_RNA from 1 species